rnacentral:rRNA from 1 species
CUACGGGAGGCAGCAGUGGGGAAUUUUGCGCAAUGGACGAAAGUCUGACGCAGCAACGCCGCGUGAGGGAUGAAGGUCUUCGGAUUGUAAACCUCUGUUGAUUGGGAAGAAUAACGUCGCGGACAAUAACCGCGAGGGAUGACGGUACCAGUCGAGGAAGCCCCGGCUAACUACGUGCCAGCAGCCGCGGUAAUACGUAGGGGGCAAGCGUUGUUCGGAAUUACUGGGCGUAAAGGGAGCGUAGGCGGAUUGGCAAGUUAGGAGUGAAAUCCACAGGCUUAACCUGUGGGUUGCUUUUAAAACUGCUUUUCUUGAGUAUUGGAGAGGAUGAUGGAAUUCCAGGUGUAGCGGUGGAAUGCGUAGAUACCUGGAAGAACACCAGUUGCGUAGGCGGUCAUCUGGCCAAAUACUGACGCUGAGGCUCGAAAGCUAGGGGAGCAAACAGGAUUAGAUACCCUGGUAGUCU